UACGUAGGGUGCGAGCGUUGUCCGGAAUUACUGGGCGUAAAGAGCUCGUAGGUGGUUUGUCGCGUUGUUCGUGAAAACUCACAGCUCAACUGUGGGCGUGCGGGCGAUACGGGCAGACUGGAGUACUGCAGGGGAGACUGGAAUUCCUGGUGUAGCGGUGGAAUGCGCAGAUAUCUGGAGGAACACCGGUGGCGAAGGCGGCAUCCUGGACCGGCAUUGACGCUGAGGCGCGAAAGCCAGGGGAGCAAACGGG
rnacentral:rRNA from 1 species